rnacentral:misc_RNA from 1 species
UGAAAAAGGAAAAACCUUCGACGCCGCUAUUGGCUCCAGGAAUGCUUUACAGUCAUUGACGCGUGCGCUUUUCGCAUUCACAAACACCAAAACGCUUGACAUUCAUCGGUAUCGCAUGCUGCCUGUUCUGUACACUAAUCAACAUUCAAACAUCGCUUAAAGGAACCAUGGAGCUUUAUCUUCUCCCAGAAACAGAUUCGUUUUCACAGGUGUUUUUACGACCUACGUUUGCUGUGCCUUUUAGUGUUAUGACUUCACUAACGCUUGCCGCAAACUACUUUAUGGAGAAGUCAACUGUGGAAAGCAGUAGUGCACCAGCAGUUCUCGUUACAGCGACUUUUUGUGUGAACGUCUUCAGCUUUACACUCUUCAUAGCCAGCAUCACGUUUUCUAACAGCACCCAAAUUACGCGUGCCAUUGCUCUGGGCCAAAGCCCACCAAUGAAGCUGUCUGUACUGCGGUCUUUGCCGUGGCCUCUGUCGGUGGUCUGUGGCGGCCAGGGUGAUAGGAAGCUUGUACCGUUUGUUUUGUACUCUCUCAUUUUUCCCGGCACGCUGGUAGUUGCGUCACUGCACCUUAUCAGCCUUGGCGUAAAUGGGCUUGAGAAUUCCCUUUUCUGGCAACUUCCGCUGCAGCGAUACUUGGCCUGGUCGAUGCUGUGGCGCCUUGUCGUCGCUACCGCUGUGUUCACCACCAACUACCUAGCGGCGCACAACCCUACGCAAUCCGUACUCAUCCCGAGCACGGACACUUACCGCCAGCCCUCCAAUGUUGGAAGGAAGCCCGAAUAGUUGCUAUUUUUUAUUACAGCUGGCGACGAUGAAAUUCUCAUUGCUGCUUUGAAAGUGAGCGGCCCCGUUGCUCUUAUCUCGUCCUCUUUUUUCCGUAGAGCUGGCCGCUUUACGCUGUGGAAACGGAGUCCAUUCGCGUCGUCGGCACUACCUGUCGUACGAUCUUCGUAUCGGUGUGCGCACUUCUUCUGUGUGCAAAUGCGCCAUCGUAUUGCAUAGGUUAAAAAA